CUAUCAAAGGGCAAGUUUGGGCA
rnacentral:siRNA from 1 species